UGGGGAAUUUUGGACAAUGGGCGAAAGCCUGAUCCAGCAAUGCCGCGUGUGUGAAGAAGGCCUUCGGGUUGUAAAGCACUUUUGUCCGGAAAGAAAUCCUUGGCUCUAAUACAGUCGGGGGAUGACGGUACCGGAAGAAUAAGCACCGGCUAACUACGUGCCAGCAGCCGCGGUAAUACGUAGGGUGCAAGCGUUAAUCGGAAUUACUGGGCGUAAAGCGUGCGCAGGCGGUUUGCUAAGACCGAUGUGAAAUCCCCGGGCUCAACCUGGGAACUGCAUUGGUGACUGGCAGGCUAGAGUAUGGCAGAGGGGGGUAGAAUUCCACGUGUAGCAGUGAAAUGCGUAGAGAUGUGGAGGAAUACCGAUGGCGAAGGCAGCCCCCUGGGCCAAUACUGACGCUCAUGCACGAAAGCGUGGGGAGCAAACAGGAUUAGAUACCCUGGUAGUCCACGCCCUAAACGAUGUCAACUAGUUGUUGGGGAUUCAUUUCCUUAGUAACUAGCUAACGCGUGAAGUUGACCGCCUGGGGAGUAGGUCGCAAGAUUAAAACUUAAAUGAAUUG
rnacentral:rRNA from 1 species